GCCGGAGUGGCGGAAUUGGCAGACGCGCACGACUCAAACUCGUGUAGGUUUUACCUGUGGGGGUUCAAGUCCCCCCUCCGGCA
rnacentral:tRNA from 1 species